rnacentral:rRNA from 1 species
ACAGCAGCAGCCGCGGUAAUACGUAGGGUGCGAGCGUUAAUCGGAAUUACUGGGCGUAAAGCGUGCGCAGGCGGUUAUAUAAGACAGAUGUGAAAUCCCCGGGCUCAACCUGGGACCUGCAUUUGUGACUGUAUAGCUAGAGUACGGUAGAGGGGGAUGGAACUCCGCGUGUAGCAGUGAAAUGCGUAGAUAUGCGGAGGAACACCGAUGGCGAAGGCAAUCCCCUGGACCUGUACUGACGCUCAUGCACGAAAGCGUGGGGAGCAAACAGGAUUAGAUACCCCUGUAGUCCCUGUCUCUUAUAC